rnacentral:misc_RNA from 1 species
CAACCUCUCCAGCUCCGCUGGGUCUUGGGGCUUGCCUUCCCGGGCAUCCCUUAAAGCUAGAUGCGGCGCCGCGUGGCUCUAAGCGUAGUACUUUUCUCGCUUCUGGGUCCGCUGUGGUGUCUGCUACAUAAACCCCAACUUUCAUAU